GGUCUGCCAGCCUUAGGCUUUUCACUGGCAAGUGACCAUGAUGACCACAAGCACCAUGCCCCACCCCGAGGCAGGUUCUCCUGCACAUUUUUCCCUUAGGCUGGAAAUCCAGCUCGCUUAUAUAACAAGCUUCAUUGCAACACUCUCCUUCAAGCCAGAGGGACUCUGGACUAUUCCCAUUUCUCUGGCUCCACAGCAGGCACUCCCAGCUUCCUGUGAAUUUGGUGAGCCAUCUGACCGUGUCUGCCAAGCCUCUCCUUUCUGGGGCCUCGCUUACCUGAGAUCUGCCUUCCCAUGGGAAAUGCAAUGUGAAGUAAAAGCAACAGACAGCCUGAGGAGCCCAGGCACCACGACGCUCAAUGCGAUUACCGUGCGGUCAUAUUUUGUUGGGGGAGGGAGGUGGUCUGGCAGCUUCAGAAUCAUGGAAGACAAAAAUCCUCACACUGUCAAUAUUACCGUAGAUGUUCCUUAAAAUACAGGAAGUCCUUUAUAGCUCUUUCUUUUUUUUUUUUUUUUUUUGAGGAAGAUUAGCCCUGAGCUAACCACUGCCAAUCCUCAUUUUUUGCUGAGGAAGACUGGCCCUGAGCUAACAUCCAUGCCCAUCUUCCUCUGCUUUACACGUGGGAUGCCUACCACAGCAUGGCUUUCGCCAAGCAGUGCUAUGUCCGCACCUGGGAUCCCAACCGGCGAACCCUGGGUCGCCGAGAAGUGGAACGUGCGAACUUAACCACUGCACCACCGGGCUGGCCUCUAUAGCUCUUUCAUGACCAGUGUUCACAGUCCUAGGCAGGAAGGCAUCUUUCAGAACGUGAGAGGACAACUGGCCUUGAGACAAUCGAAAAGAAUAGCAAUGAAGAGAACAACCUGGCAGAGAGUACACCGCAGAGAAAGGAAAUGGGGCUUCAGCUGCCUCAACAGUGUGCCUGCCUGGAUUCUCAAAGACGGAAAAGCAGCAGCAGCAAGGAGGGACGUCAGAGUCCAUGACUGCACCACUCUCCCUCACACUCAGAACCGCUCUAUUACACAACUCUGGGGGACCAUUAGAACUGGACUGGGGUGGUGUGGCAGCCCCUUCAUGGUGGCCUGCUCCUCCAACGUGUUGAAGAAGAAUGACAACUAGGAUUUUCAGAUGCUCCCAGUUGUCCCUGACCUGAGUCCUGAGCUUUAAAUUCAUUAAAAUGGGCGCUUUGUUCUCAAACAAGUACUUGUAUGUAGAUGUUCA
rnacentral:lncRNA from 1 species